rnacentral:rRNA from 1 species
GAUGAACGCUAGCUACAGGCUUAACACAUGCAAGUCGAGGGGCAGCAUGGUCUUAGCUUGCUAAGGCCGAUGGCGACCGGCGCACGGGUGAGUAACACGUAUCCAACCUGCCGUCUACUCUUGGACAGCCUUCUGAAAGGAAGAUUAAUACAAGAUGGCAUCAUGAGUCCGCAUGUUCACAUGAUUAAAGGUAUUCCGGUAGACGAUGGGGAUGCGUUCCAUUAGAUAGUAGGCGGGGUAACGGCCCACCUAGUCUCCGAUGGAUAGGGGUUCUGAGAGGAAGGUCCCCCACAUUGGAACUGAGACACGGACCAAACUCCUACGGGAGGCAGCAGUGAGGGAUAUUGGGCAGUGGGCGGGAGCCUGAAACAGCCAAGUAGCGUGAAGGAUGACUGCCCUAUGGGUGGUAAACUUCUUUUAGAAAGGAAUAAAGUCGGGUAUGGAUACCCGUUUGAAUGUACUUUAUGAAUAAGGAUCGGCUAACUCCGUG